UGUACAUGUACUUCCUAUUAAUGUAUAUUGCGAAGAUGAGGAACUAUUCAAUUAUACUAUAGCUUUGUUCAGAAAAUCUCAUCGCAAUAAUUGUAUUAUAAAUGUUUCUUUGACAUGAUGUAUCAUGCUUAAUUAUUACUAUAUUUUCAUUUUUUGUCAUUUCUUUGCAUUGUGCUUUUCAUUUUAUCAAAGCAUCUGUAGUGGAAGGAAUUAUCGAUCCUGUUGUACUGAUUAUUUCAAAGACGUUCAAUCUGGAUCAUGCAAACCGUGCAUCGGGUCAUUUGGACAUAACUGCUCUUUCCCAUGUCCAAAUGGAUACUACGGUCAUGGUUGUCGAUAUAAGUGUGAUUGUAACGACACUCAAACAUGUGAACCACAGAUCGGCUGCCUAGCAAAAAACAAUGGUCAGAAAAAUUCCUUAUUGAAAACCAUACAUGUACAUGUAGCCGUAAUCGUUUCUUGUUUUCUUGCCGUACCAGACAUUGGAUCAUCAUUUGGGUAGUCAAUUAAUAAAUCGUAACGUGAGAAGAUGGAUGAAGGAAACUGAAAGAGAAUAACUGGGAUAACAUUUGUUUGCUUCACUUUUUAAAAAGCAGAUUAUUUCGUUAAAUGCAACAUCCUUUUAAAAUUUAAUUGAUAAUAAUGUAAUGGAUAGGUUAAUUUUGCAUAAUGUCUUUUUCAAGCAUUGAUUUCUAUUGAAUGUUGAUUUUAAAUACAAAUUGUUUGUAAUGUUUUAGAACACCUGUUGACUUAUUUAAUUAAAAGAAUCGCUUUCAUGAA